AUGCGGCAGUCGGCGGCAUCACCGGCGGGCGACGCGCCGCCGCGCAUGUACUUCAUCCCGUUCCCGACGCCUGGCCACGCGCUGCCGAUGUCCGACCUGGCCCGCCUCUUCGCGUCGCGCGGCGCCGACGCCACCCUCGUCCUCACGCACAACAACGCCGCCAGGCUCGGCGGCCCCGUGGCCCGCGCGGCCGCUGCGGGCCUCCGCAUCCGCGUCCACGCGCUGCCCUUGCCCGCCGAGGCCGCGGGGCUCACGGGCGGGCACGAGAGCGCCGACGACCUCCCCACUCGUGAGGAUGCGGGGCUGUUCGCCGUCGCCGUCGACCUCCUCGCGCCGCUCUUCGCCGACCUCCUGCGCCGCCACCCCGCCAACGCCGUCGUGUUCGACGGCGUCCUCCCGUGGGCCGCCACCGCCGCCGCCGAGCUCGGCAUUCCGCGGUACGCGUUCACCGGCACCGGCUGCUUCGCGCUCUCGGUGCAGCGGUCCCUGCUCCUCCACACCCCGCAGGAGAGGGUCGCGUCGCCCACGGAGCCGUUCCUCGUGCCGGGCCUCCCGGACGCGGUGCGGCUCACCAGGUCGAGGCUCGCCGAGGCGACGCUCCCCGGCGCGGACUCGCGGGAGUUCUUGAACCGCAUGUUCGACAUCGAGCGCGCCACGGCCGGCUGGGUCGUCAACUCGUUCGCCGACCUCGAGGCGAGGUACAUGGAGCAUUACGAGAAGGACACCGGGAAGCCGGUGUUCGCCGUCGGGCCGGUCUGCCUCGUCAACAGUGACGGCGACGACGUCCGGGAGCGCGGCCGCGGUGGGGACACUGGUGCCGCCGCGGAGGCCGCACGCAUCCUGAGCUGGCUCGACACGAAGCCCGCGCGGUCGGUGGUAUACGUCUGCUUCGGCAGCCUCACCCGGUUCCCGCGCGAGCAGGUGACGGAGCUCGGCAUGGGCCUCGCGGACUCCGGCGCGAACUUCGUGUGGGUCGUCGGGGACAAGAACGAUCCGCCGCUCCCCGACGUGGACGCCGCGGCGGGUGGCCGCGGGCUGGUGGUCAGGGGGUGGGCACCGCAGGUGGCGGUGCUGAGGCACGCGGCUGUUGGCGCGUUCGUGACACACUGCGGGUGGGGCGCGGUGACCGAGGCGGCGGCGGCUGGUGUCCCGGUGGUGACAUGGCCGGUUUUCGCGGAGCAGUUCUACAACGAGGCGCUGGUGGUGGGCAUCGCCGGCACGGGCGUCGGCGCCGGCGCGGAGAGGGGGUACGUGUGGGGAGGCGAGGAGCUGGGCGGGGUGGUGGUGGGCAGGGAGAAGGUGGCGGAGAGGGUCCGCGCGGCGAUGGCCGACGAGGGGCUGCGACGGAAGGCAGGGGAGGUCGGGGAGAGCGCGCGGCGGGCCGUGGAAGUGGGAGGGUCUUCGUACGUGGCCGUUGGGGCGCUGCUGAAUGAUGUACGGCGCCGGCGCCGGCACGGGGGUUGA
rnacentral:rRNA from 1 species